rnacentral:lncRNA from 1 species
AUUGCAUCACAGAUCCUAGGAUAAACUUGAGAUGAAAAUAUGAUGAUCUGAGACUGCUCCGACAUUCGUGCAGUAGAUAGAUCCCGAUCCGAUCUUUAUUCGAAAUUGAUAACAUCGAUCAUGGUUAAUCCAUAUUAAGUCACCCUGAUAUAACCUCUGAUGAUCUCAACCAUGAUUGCCACUUUUGAAGGAUAUGAAGAUUCUUUCUCCACUUUCUCUCUCUACUUUCUCUCUCAUGAUCGACUUUCUCUCUCUAAAAAAAUCUAUGAAUCCUGUAUCGAGUCAUGCCUUCAUCUUUUAGAGGCUCAUAUUAACUCUAAUAAUAUGAUCCAAUGUUGCUUUAAUAUCCGUGCUGUAUGUUAACUUCAUUUGGCCAUAUCAAGUAUUUUUCAAACCCAUUAUUAAAGAAUUCUAUUGAUUGAUCUUGACUUUAAUUCGAUCUGUGCUUCAUGAUUUUUUGAUCAAGUUACUUGAAUCUGACUCUCUGAUAAGAGAUCCUGAAUUGCCCUGGUAUCUAGAUGGUCCGACACAUCCGGUCAACAGUCUUCUUUCCUUAUGAUUUGAUCUUGUUAUAGUUAUGGAAUAGAAUUUGAUAAUGAUUUGAUAUUUUAAAUAGGAUUAGCUGAUUCUUCUAACGAAGUCUGAAGAUCUAAGAUGAACGAGGUAAGUAGAUCUUAUGCUUCUUAUUUAUUUUUAAAUAAUCAUAUUUUUAUGCAAAGAAUUGCUAUUAAUGAA